UUUGGGGUCUCCGUGGGUUCCUCACACCCCAGAGACCCCAUAAUGACAUCAGGAGCUGUUCCAGAGUGUCCCCAUUGUUCUUCACAAACCCCCCUGAGAUGUGGCCACCACAAAUUUCCCAUUUCUUUAACAUCCCACCAGGGCUUUUGAGGUGUCCAUGGGUUCCUCACCCCCCAGAGACUCCAUAACUGCAUCUGGAUCCCUUCUAGAAGGUCCCCAUGGUUCUCCACAAACCCCCCUGAGAUGUUUCCACCACAAAUUUCCCCCUUCCCCUCAGCCCAGAAGAACUUUUGAGGUCUCCAUGGAUUUGUGCCCCCCCAGAGACUCCAUAACUGCACCUGGAUCCCUUCUAGAAGGUCCCCAUGGUUCUCCACAAACCCCCCUGAGAUGUUUCCACCACAAAUUCCCGCCCUUCCCCUCCCCCUAGAAGAACCGUUCCAGCGCCCCUUUGUCCCCCAACCCCUGGAGACCCCAUAACUGCAUCUGGAUCCCUUCCAGAGCGUCCCCUCGAACCCCCCUGAGAUGUUUCCACCACNUCCUGGGGAGGAGAUGGGGGAGGGGGAUGGAGGAGCCUGGAGUGAUGGGGGAGGGGAUGGGGGGAGCUGGAGGGUCCUGGUGGCUUUGGGACAUCCUGGGACAUCCUGGGACACUCUGGGGUGGCUUUGGGACAUCCUGGGACAUCGUUGGGUGGCUUUGGGACAUCCUGAAAGGGACAAUCUGUGGUGGCUUUGGGACAUCCUUGGGUGGCUUUGGGACAUCCUGAAGGAGACAACCUGUGGUGGCUUUGGGACAUCCUAGAGGAGACACCUUGGGGUGGCUUUGGGACAUCCCGUGGACAUCUUGGGGCAUUUAUGGGACACCCAGGGGUGGCCUGGAGGGGCUCGGGGUGUCCUCAGUGGUUCUGGUGGCUUUGGGACAUCCCUGGGACACCCUGGGAGCUCCUGGGACACCCAUGGGUGGCUUUGGGACAUCCUUGGGUGGCUCUGGGACACCUGUGGGACACCCUGGGGUGGCCUGGAUGGUCCUGGGACAUCCUGAGGUGGCUUUGGGACAUUCAGGGGACAUCCAUGGGACAUUUAUGGGACACCCAGGGGUGGCUUUGGGACAUCCUUGGGACACCCUGGAAGGGACACCUUGGGGUGGCUCUGAGACAUCCUGAAGGGGACGACCUGUGGUGGUUUUGGGACAUCCCUGGGACAUCCUUGGGUGGCUUUGGGACAUCCUGGGGACAUUUAUGGGACACCUUGGGGUGGCUCUGGGACAUUCAUGGGACACCCAUGGGACAUUCUGGGGUGGCUUUGGGACAUCCAGAUGGGGACACCCUGGGGUGGCUCUGGGACAUCCUAAAGGAUCCUGGGAGAUCUCAGGUGGCCUUGGGACACCCUGGAGGGGACAAUCUGUGGUGGCUCUGGGACACCUUGGGGGGGCUUUGUGGCUUUGGGACACCCAUGGGACACCCUGAGAGCUCCUGGGACACCCAGGGGUGGCUCUGAAGAGUCCUGAGGUGGCUUUGGGACAUCCAUGGGACAUCCAGGGGUGGCUUUGGGACACCCAGGGGUGGCUCUGGGACACCCUGGGACACCCUGGAGGGGACACCCAUGGGACACCCAUUGGUGGCUUUGGGACACCUUGGGGUGGCCUUGGGACAUCCAUGGGACACCCUGGAGGGGAUAACCUGAGGUGGCUCUGGGACAUCUGUGGGACACCCAUGGGACACCCUGGGGUGGCUUUGGGACAUCCAUGGGACACCUUGAAGUGACAACCUCGGGUGGGUCUGGGGCACCCAUGGGACACCCUGAGAGCUCCUGGGACACCCUGGGGUGGCUUUGGGACAUCCUGGGACAUCCUUGGGACACCCAGGAGUGGCUUGGGGUCAACCAGGAGGGGACACCCUGGGGUGGCUUUGGGACACCUGUGGGGACAUUGAUGGGAC
ensembl:lncRNA